CCAAGACCCCAAGAGAUGCCUCCUAGGGAAAAUGUCAAAAUGGUGGGAAAAAAUGGUGGAUAACGCCGUAACCCCGUAUCGGCAAAAGUGUGCUCCGUUUAACGUGGAUUUGUUCAUUUUCUUUAAACUGUGUCAUUAGGGGAUGGGUGGAAAAAUGAAUGAAUGUCGUUCGGCUGGAUCUGUGUAAUGGCCAUGAUCUGUGUCAACGUGGAUUCGUUAACUUACCAAAAGAAUGAAAGAAGCUUACAGACCACUUUUGAAGAAAGAAAUCUAAAAUUGUUAAUUUAUCCACUGCAAUUUCAAAUGCAGUGGAUGCAAUUGGUUCAAUUUUGUUGUCAGCAUAUUGAUCUUUUUCUUUUUCACUUCUCAAAUUGACUGAAACGAGUGAAACAUUUUCACACCACAAAUUGACCUAAACAUUAUUCAAACCUGUUGGGUUUCGGAGGUGGCAGUUAAGAGUAUGCCAGGUCGGGAAAUGGUAACAUAUUUUAAUGUUUUCUUCUUAAAAUAAUAUGUUUUCCUAGUAAAAUUAGCGAAAUUUCUGUUAGUUUUGAUCGCAUUGGAGUACAGUUUUAUUUUUUAUUAUCUAACAGGUCUGUUCAAGGUUUACAGCAAACUUAUAAAUUUGAUUUAAGUUAAACAUUUUAAAAGAAGUCUGUAGCCCAUCCUAAUUUUUCGUCCUUUAGGUUUCAACUCUUCCAAUUCCCUUUCAAGUUCUUUACAUUAAUUUUUUAAAAAGCAGUUAAAAGCAGAAAAAAAAUAUAGCUGCUAUCCAUGCUCCCCAUGCAUGUGCACAGUGAGGGGCUGUCUCCUAGUAUUCAUUUUAUCUUUGGUUAUUUUGAUCGAGGGAAUAUUUAGCUGGUGGUAAGCUGAAAAACUGUUUUGGCCUUUUUCAAAAUGGAGGAUUUACAGGAGCGUAUCUAGCCAAGCAAUUCCUCGCGCUAUGGAAGGACAUUUACGUCUUGCAAAACAUGAGCGUCAGCCGAUUGCCCAAAAUGUAUAGCAUGUUAACAUAGUCAAAGUUAUCAGUUGACACAAGAAUUGAUUGCUUUCUGCGGCCGUCGUAAUUUCUUCGAAGAACUGACAAUUCAUUUUCAGAUGACUGCUGCCCAUUCAACCAACAAAAGUUUGAGGCAACCAUAAUUCCAAAAGCUGGUUCAUUGCAAAACGCAUGUUGUCGAAAAAACUGACAAUUGGGAAGAAAUCGUCUGGUGAUGAAACUCUAGUCAUGGAGGACGUAAAUACGUGACUACUCGUUUCCCCAUCAAAUGAACGUUGCUGCAGUUUUGGCCAAGAUGGAAUUUGAAAGCUUCUUUAUCACGAGCUAUACUAUCCGAGGGAGAUGACUCCCACGAGGCCACGAUGCAGUUGUCAAACGAGUAUACGGUUAAACAAUUUAUAUCUGGAACUCGACAAACGCAUCACGCAUCUCUGCCUCCAACAACCACUGCUCUCUAACACAGCACGGAGUUUUGAUAUUUAGAUUGUCUGGCGGUUUCUUUAGGGAAGAUGAUAUUGCUGAGCAGAAUAUUGCCGCUAGAUGACUAGAAUGGCUUAGAUCGUUUUCAGCUUUUAGAUUGCGAGAAAGCAGAAAUAUUUCUGCGUUUUCAGAACGGAUAUAUUCAGGGAAGUACUUCUUUCAUUAAUCGAAUUAAAUUCUCUAUUAAAUAAUUAAUUUAGAUACAGAUUUUCGGUUGUUUCAAUUAACUUGAAAUUUUAAAAUUUAGUUCUGGCUUCUGGGACUGGACCGCGGGGUUGUUAUAGACCGAAGUGGCGAUGCAGUGACAACUGAAUUCACAUUGGCUGGGGCAGUGUAUGUGGGAGCGGUGAAAGUUGGAUUAUAGACUGGUUUGCUCCGAUCCGAAAUUGGCCCGUUUCAUCUGGAGACAGAACUAUUCUAACUUGGCUGAAGGAUUGAAUUUUGUGAGGUCGUGCGAACAAGAAAAACGGAACUUUGGCUACGGUGGCCACCUGCAGUCACUCACCACGGGAUUAUGGCCAGUUCAGGAAAAUUCUCGAUUUUGGCCAAAUUUUGGAUUUCGUUUUAAUCACACCUGAUCGACCCCAAAUUUUAUGGGGAUCACGAAUAUGUGGUUUAAUUUGAUGGCAGCUUAAUGGUUGAGGCACUGUGGUUACUUCCGGUAUACUUCCGGAAAAUAUUCGAAAAAUUAGCAAGUAAUGCAGAGGAGACGUCGAGAAGAUGGAUUUUCUCAUCUCUAAACAUCGUCACCGGUCUCCGUCGGAUGUUGCCCUGCUCGGUGCGAACGAAAGUCGGUGGAGUGAAUGGAUGUAAGAUUAAUGCGCCAACAAAAUACUUCUGGCAAUGGAAAUGGACAAUCGCUGGAAGUGGAAAGGGAUCAUCACUGGCAACGGAAAGGGACAAUCGCGACCGGCACCGAGACUCGUCAUCAACGGGAACAAUCGCGACCGGCACCGAGACUCGUCAUCAACGUGGAUCAUCGUAUUGUUGGUAUUAUUUCGUUUGUGUCAGUGUUAGUUAACCCGUUAGCUGCCACGCCUUUGUUCUCCCCUAGCU